rnacentral:rRNA from 1 species
CAUGGCUCAGGAUGAACGCUAGCGAUAGGCUUAACACAUGCAAGUCAACUUGAACUUCGGUUUAGGUGGCGGACGGGUGAGUAACGCGUAAAGAACUUGCCUCACAGAUAGGGACAACAUUUGGAAACGAAUGCUAAUACCUGAUAUUAUAAUUUUAGGGCAUCCUAGAAUUAUGAAAGCUAUAUGCGCUGUGAGAGAGCUUUGCGUCCCAUUAGCUAGUUGGAGAGGUAACGGCUCACCAAGGCGAUGAUGGGUAGCCGGCCUGAGAGGGUGAUCGGCCACAAGGGGACUGAGACACGGCCCUUACUCCUACGG